rnacentral:rRNA from 1 species
GCGAGUGGCGAACGGGUGAGUAAUAUAUCGGAACGUGCCCUGGAGUGGGGGAUAACUAGUCGAAAGAUUAGCUAAUACCGCAUACGAUCUACGGAUGAAAGUGGGGGAUCGCAAGACCUCAUGCUCGUGGAGCGGCCGAUAUCUGAUUAGCUAGUUGGUGGGGUAAAAGCCUACCAAGGCGACGAUCAGUAGCUGGUCUGAGAGGACGACCAGCCACACUGGGACUGAGACACGGCCCAGACUCCUACGGGAGGCAGCAGUGGGGAAUUUUGGACAAUGGGGGCAACCCUGAUCCAGCAAUGCCGCGUGAGUGAAGAAGGCYUUCGGGUUGUAAAGCUCUUUUGUCAGGGAAGAAACGGCGGGAUCUAAUACAUUCUGCUAAUGACGGUACCUGAAGAAUAAGCACCGGCUAACUACG